rnacentral:lncRNA from 1 species
AGCACUUCGAGGGUGGGUACUGUGCCACUAAGAAGACAAUUGUUGGCAAUGAGCUCAACAAAGACAACGACGAAAACUUCUUUCACAAACGACCUAAGAAAAAGACAUGCGUAUGUACACUUCAAUGCAGUAAAGCCCCACCACCAUCGUCAGAACCUGACGUGCCAGAGCCACCGGGUGAACCUGAGCUGCCAGAUCCUAAGAAGAAGCCGCCGCCGCCAUAUGUACGUGAUGUGCCGGAGCCGCCCUCGGGAGAAAACAAGAAGAAGCUAGUGGCAGCUGCUGACCAGUGAGCAAAUGGUCUAGCCUGCCCGUCCGUGGAAAAUGAUUUCAAUAAGACAGGAAUUAAUCAAUGCUUACUAAAGCCUACGAAACCUUCCAUCCCUAAUUAAUCUCCUCCCCCUGAAUUUCAUUGGUGGGGCAUGCGCCCUUUUCCUUUCCAAUCAAAACCUUCCACGUUAGCUCUCACGUAAAGUAUGUCAAAAGAUUUUCGUACAUGUAGCGUUAUCCUUGAAUGCUCCAUCCCACCCACGCUCGGAUAAAAGAAAAGGAAAAAUAAUGUCCACGAUCACGUAUCUCUCCGCUCACCCGAGAAAAUUUGCCGACGCCGCCCCACUCCUCGUUUGCCUCGUGGUCGUGGGCGCGGCCGCCGGGAUAGGGGACGGGGUGGGAGCGCGGUGCACGACUGGAGGCAGAGUAGGGUGUCUUGUAGUGAAGAUGUUCCCCACAACCACUUGAUCGCCUCGUCGUCGUCGUGGUUGUGGGAGCGCGGCCGCCAGGAUGGGGCGGGGUGGGAGCGCGGUGUGCGAUUGGACGCAGAGUAGGGUGUCUUGCAGUGAUGCAUCCAGCAAGUGUCCCAGGCUGCAACGUCCUUUGACAUGGAUACAAGCGCAUGCAGGGAGAGAGAACUGACUGGGAGGUGUAUGGGGUCAACGCCCCCAUUAGCUUGUUGCCCGCCGCUGCUGGACGAGAUUAUGGUGGGUGCCGAUUUGAAGCGUGGGGGGAGAGCACCGGGGAAGGGCGUCGCAUUGGGGAUCGAUUUGGCCCCGAUCCGGCUUGAUGGAAUACAAGCCAUGCCCAUGCCACCCCAUGGACGCCCCUGACCGAGGUCGGGGCUUGCCGUGGGUGCAUCCGCACCGGCGUGGUGGCCUGCAGUCCCUACAACCAGCAUAAGCUCUGAAACGUGGGAAAGACGCAAGAUCAGAUGUUCCCCACAACCUGAACAUGUGAGCUAUGAUAUUUCUCCCGGCAUGUGUGUUGCUUCCGCUGGAUGAUGCUCUGUUGCCUCCUAGCUGUUGUAGUCUUUCCUUCUCUUGCUGCUCGAUGAAGUUGGUCGUGAUGCUAGCUUUGCAUGCUAUGGAGUUUCUAGUUUUGACUUACAUUGAUCUGAUUAUGUAUACCUUUUUUGGGGCGGGGGUAUAUGUAUGCCAGUAUACAUUAUUAAGUACUGGGGAGAAGAGGGGGAUGUAUUGUACCUCUGUGGAACAUCGUCUUUUAGCUGAAUCUAUAUGUUUAUUCAAUCUGAACUUGGAUGUUUUAUUUGGCUUGCACACCCCGUGUAAAGAAAUAUAAGAUCGGUUUGAUCACCAAACUACCUUGUGAUUUCCUAUGCUGCAAACUGUAAUUAGUUUUCUUUAGCUGCAGGCUUUGUUACUAUAGUUGGCUAAUGGCUAAUGCACUUAAUUGGGACCAUUUCUGGUCUGAUAAUAAAUGCAGGUAUGUCUAAUUUGGAUCUUAACUAGAGCACCAACGUAUGCUUCUAACACCUCUGAAAAAUUAUCGCAACUGAAGUAUUGGACUCAUCUAUAUAUGGACAUCAUUCUAGCUUACUCCUUUGGUACGUACACAUGACAACUGAGAUUGGAACCCCCUUUUGUAAUGAUAAUCACCGUAAUCUGCAAUUGAUUCAGCAUCACAUGGGAAAAUAAGUGGGGAUAUUGUCACUAAAAAAUAUUCCAAUUUUGUGGAGCUUGACUAGCUGGGAUCAAUUCUUCCAUUCCACAGCAUGCUUUGUUACGAAGCAAUAACCCAUAUCUCCACAUGCUGGAGUUUCAGUUUCCUUGGAUGUUGCAAUAUAUAGUUCAAAACUUCAUCUGUGGAUUUGGUUUCGAUCACAAAGAAUUGGUAGACAUUCUUGCUAAUUUACUAGGCCCUUUCCAGCAGCAGAUUCCUUUUAAUGUAGAUAUGCCAUGCUUACAGUUUGACAUGAAUACUUCGUGUUGUGCUUCUUAGCUCUAAUAGUACUUUGUGUUUACUUAUACUAGCGGCUGGGGUCACUACUGGGAAAGCGAUUAUAGGUGAAUCCUAAUGAGUGGCGGGCAUAGUCGGUAACCCGCAACAACUAUUUUUGAAAACAAGCAGUGGCGGGUAGCAAACACUGUCCGCCACAGCUAGAAGCUCACUUUAGGAAAGGGGUUUGAAGAAAAUAUGUUGUCUGUGCGUUGUUUGCGAGAAUGAUGUUAUAUACACAAUUGAAUCGGGAGAGUUGCAUAAGCACUUGUUGGCUGGUGGUUUCAUGCCCGGUUAUACGAUAUGGACAAGUCAUGGUGAGGAUGGGAUGUCAUGUGAAGGAGCGAAACAUGACGAGGAACAAGAAUGGUUGAUGUUUGGACAUGAUGAACAAUCUGACGGUGAUGAAUACAGCGAGUCUGGUGAAGAGUCCGACGAAAGUGAGGAGGCCGAAAUGGAGGAGGCAAUCAUCUAGGGCAAAUUGGCGGGAAUGGUGCACGAUGAACACAUGCAAGAGUUGAACAUGAAAGAGACUAGCACCAAGGCAGCUUCUCGUAGAGAGGCUACCAAACUGGCGACUCUUGUGAAGGACUUAACAGCCGCUUUGUACGGUGGUUGCAAGGCAAAACAGACACGACUAAGUGUCACGAUGAAUCUUAUGGACAUUAAGGCAAAAAACAAUAUCACAGACACUUCCGUCGAUAUGAAUUUGAAGUAUUUGCAUGAUGUUCUUCCUAAAGGCAACGUGUUGCCAAAAAGUAUUGAUGAGGCAAGGAAGGUAUUGUGUCCUCUUGACAUGGAGCCGGUAAAGUACCAUGCAUGCAAAAAUGACUGCGUAAUUUACCGGAACGAGUACUCCAACCUAAUAAGGUGUCCAACAUGCAAGUUUCCAUGAUUCAAGCGGGGAAACAACAAUUGGGAAGACAAUGAUGAUGGUAGAGCACCCGCUAGCGGUACUCCUUAUAAGUUUGUAUGGUACUUCCCAAUCAUUCAACGCCUGAAGCGUUUGUAUGCAAACAAGAAGCAGGCAAAGCUUAUGAUUUGGCAUUCUAAGAGGAAUAAGUAUGACAGAGUGAUUAAACACGUUGCAUAUGGUCGGCAGUGGAAAGCAAUCGAUGACGAGUUCCCUCAUUUCAGUGGAGAUGAUAGGAAGCUGGGCUAUAGUGUGGAUGGUCUGAAUCCCUUUAGUAACCAAAACAGCGCACACAACACCUGGCCCGUGGUUGUCUGCAUCUACAACCUUCCCCCAUGGGUGUGCACGAAGAGAAAGUACACAUGGUCAUGCCAGUUCAACAACCAAGCCAAUUGGGUAGUGAUUUGAACAUGUAUAUGUAACUACUGAAGGAGGAGUUAGAAAUUUUAUGGGCAGAUGAGGGGGUGUGUACAUAUGACGCUAAAACGGGUACGUAUUUCGCUAUGAAAGUUGUGCUGCUCACGAUGAUGGAGGACUAUCCGGUAAACGGUUAUAAUUCGGGUCAAGUUUGCCACAAGAACUGUGCAUGUGUUAGGUGAAUGGAUGAAACUCAUUCUCUAUAUCUGAAGGCCUCUCAUAAAACAGUUUACAUGAAGUAUAAGUGAUUGAAAAGAAACAUUUUGAUAGAUUUAAUUUCCAGUCUUCUAAAUAUAGAGAUUUUUUAUGCACUAUAUACGGAUGGUUUAUUGUACAAUAUACGACACGUACGUACAUGUUAGGGCCAUCUUAAAGGAGCUCUUCUUACCCUCAGCUACUGGACCUCCUCAUUCGGUUAUGAUCUAGUAUGAUGACCCUCAUCAGGUGUACUACUACUUAUAGUUCAUCUGAGUUUCUAUUCGUGUAUGGGUACCUAGAUGGCCUGUCCUAUGUUCCUUAGCUCCACAAUCUCAGCGACUGAUAUAUCUUGAUAUUUACUUAUCAGACGUAACGUUAAUUGCUGACAUCAAUGUCUCCUGCUAACAUAAGUCGAUGUGCAUGUACAUGAAUCAAAACAAGUAACAAACAAGUAAACCCAAUUGUAUAGAGCCAACAUAGCACCACAAAGGACCACCUCAGUAGGCGCAAUCGUGCACCCCAUCCCCUAGUACCUUAUAGCAAAUCUACUAGUCAUCUAUUGGGCAAAUUAUAGGAAAAAGGCUCUCUAGCAGAGUUGCAAUAUCUAGCAAAAUUGACAUAAUUUUGUAGAGCAUCCUCCAUAUUCGGCCUCCCAGCCCCAUAUUUGGAGUCUUGGGCUACCUUUUGGAAGACGCUCCAUAUGGCUAUUCUGUGUGGCGGGAAGAAAACCUCACAUGAUCCAUCACCUCACAUGGGAUCGAUAUUUUAAUUGGAGGAAAAUUGUAUUCCACUGGAAUAUGGGUCCAUUGAUUAUGAAGGCCACAUUAUGGCGACUAUGUGUUUAUACGCACAACCUCGGUGGACUCCAUAAUUUAUAUGGAGCGCACAUCAUAUGAAUACUGGGACUCCCAAUAUGGCGACUCUGCUAGAGUUGCUCGUAGGAGGCAUGUAGCCUUGCCCACAAAUGAUCGCUAGGUUCAAGGAACGCAACUGCUCGGCCAUGUUGCAUUCGGCCCGUAAAAUAAUCUCAAGUAAAACUUCUCGUUCCCCGCAUGACAGGACCCACACAAUAGGACUGCACAUAUCACGCCUCAGUCAUAAAAUGUCUCCUGAUACCCGUUGUUUCUUUUCUCCUAGAGACCAUGGCGAUCAUAGAACACACCACCUGCGAUGUUACCAGGAGUGCUUCCCCAAUACCAACUAGCGACCAUGGAGGACCAUCGUCGUACCCUCGCGACCAUUGGGCCACCGUCGAGAUCCAUUAGUCGCUGGGAUCCAGUCCUACUGUUCUUCACCGCCGGUCGGAGCUUGCCAGAUGCUCCAUCUUUCGAUGUUCACCGCCUCGUUCUCCGCCACCUUCCUCUUCCCUACAGUUUGUAGUCUGCUAAUUGAUGUUUGUGAUGAUCGACUCCAAGAGAAUUUUGGGUUGACCGGACCUCUCCUCCAUUGCUGACAACGGGUUGCAUGGAAGGUUUUGAAUGCGUUGUUGCGCUCGCUCACAAUAGAUCCAACCCUGCCAGGGAUUUCAAGUGGUCUCUCCGGAGUUUGUCUAAACCCAUUGUGGUGGAUGUUAAGGUUUUGGUAAUAGGGUUUAGAGUGGAGUGAGGGUAAAAUUUCUAGGCAUUAUGGUAACUAUGGUACUAGUUUGUGACGACCCAGUAGGAAGGGAUCGCAGUCACAUAACUGGAUAGGUAGGGAAGCAAAUGGUGAAGUUGGGGAAGACAAUGUUGAGGAUUCAUAGAGAAUUUGAGAUAAGAACUACAAUGCGCAUUCCAUCUUUGUCGUCGUUCACCAUUGUCUUCAGCAUGAGUAACACACACCAACUCACAUGGGUUAGGCCACAUUCGACACCAACACUACACAACCCAUAGCCCAAAUCUUACUCCACUAUAUCGUUACUGGAUGCAUGUGUCACAUACUAUAUGUUGAUGGAACGGAAGAGCAAAGAGAAGAUCUAGACCAUCUUCCACGCUAUGCCAUUGGAAGCAAUGUACCAGACUGUCGACUACAGAUAUUCCUCCAAAAAUAUGUAACUUCUUCUCGAGGCUGGCAGAGUGUACUGCCAAAGUUAUUACAUGAUCGCAACAUGUCAUCUACUACAUCAUGUGGAAUUUGCGGUAUAGCGGAUCAUACAUGGUUUCACUGCUCGUUGAUUGUAUAAUGGUUUGAUAUGUUAGGGCUUUGAUAGAUGAAGACUUGACGGAGCAAAUAUGCAUGUCGGCUUCGGAAAAUAACCUAUUGAUGUCGCCAAAGAAAAAUAAGGUGAAGAGAGGCUUGGGACCGGGCCCAACUCAUCCCAAAUGGAUCCUGCGGCCACAAGGAAGUUGCAAGACCAAUGCAAAUAGAGCACUCGCAAAAUUUUCAGCGAAGGUAGCCGUCGUAAUUGCUUGUCGUGUUGAAGAUGACUCCGGUCCAGGAGUAUGGACUAUGGUAGCGAAGGCAUUCAGGGCCCAUUAAUAGUUUAAAUGAAGGCCCUUCGAGAGGCCUUGGACCGACACUUGAUUUAUAGAUCAAAACAGUGAGGAUAACAUUAGACUGUCAGACGAUUGUCAAUGACAUCAACAAUGGAAGCAUGGCAGUCUAUGACAUGAUACUUGUGGAGAUUAAUGGCCGUUGUAAGCAACUCAACGAUAUUUCAUUCCACUAUGAGAAUGAGAGUGGAAAUUCUAAUAGAGGCAGAUUCUACAGCAAAAUAUGCCCUUUCUGUGACGAGUGGCUUGGACUUCUAGCUGCUUAUUAACUAGAGAGCUGCUAUGCACACGAUACCUGUUGCACGAUUGCUGGACGAUAUUGCAAAUCGCACCAUCCAUAUGUAGGAGUAGGUGCGACACAACCACUGGAUUAACUAUCGUGCCUGAAUUGUCCAGUAGGUAUCUCUCGUGAAGUAGUUUCGUAUUAACCAUCUCGCCAGAUUUGUAUACUGUACCCCAAGAAAUUUUAGAUGAAUAUAAAAUCACCAACCUCGUUGAAGACAAAAAAUAAUGGCCGCGUGUGCAAACUCAAUUUUCACCUACUCUCUCCGUCCAACAAUAUAAGACGUUUAUGCAAGCAAGUAAAUGAUUAGAUAUAGUGAGCAGCCAUCUUAAAGUCUGAAUUUGGUCCCUCAACUUUAAAAAGAUGUCCUCCACCUUUAAUUUUCAAUGCCCGAUGAGUUUGGUCCCUCUUCGAAUGUUAAACCGGUUUUUAAUGAUGCUGCUACUAUUAUUUCGUAUUUUAUUUCUUUUUUAUUUCAUGUUGUAUUCGUACACCUUUACACAAGUUUUCAUACAACAGGAAUUUAUAAAUUGUUUUUACAUCAUAAUGAGUUAUUACAUCACGGGGUGAAAGAACCGUGGACUAGUUUCAAGUGGAUGGACAUCGACUUGAAACUAAUCCACGGUUCUUUCACCCAAUGAUAUAAUAAAUAUCAUCAUCAUCAUAUCAUUAACAACUUAUCAUCAUAAUACAUCAUUGUCAUAUAACACCUCCUCAAGAUCAUCGUUUUCAUCAAUGAGACAUCACAUAGCAAAUUGGUCACUAGUCGUAAUCACAAGUACUCCUCAUCAUCAACUCUAACACAUUGUAUCACAUAAUAAACAUAUUGUACCUCAUAGGACCUACUACAUUCUCUUAGGACCUACUAUAUUCUCUAAGGUAAAAUAGCAAAAAAAACAAGAUAGCCCCUGACUCUCCAUUAUGGAGAAUGGAGAUUAUCCUGUCUCCAAUUCUUGCCUUUUGCUUAAUGUUACUUCCAAGAACCUCCUUGUGAAUGUCCAAACAUUUUUUCCAUUCUUUGAUUAGCAUGUGUUCACCGGUUUUAGAAAUCCGAUAUGCACAGGUGAGCUCCUUAGAUUGACCUGGCUGUAUGUUCAGAACUGCAAGGCGACUAUUCUGAUACAUCAGAUGAGGCACACAAUCCAUCGGGAUUUUCUGUUGAAAAACAUAGUAAUAACUUCGUAGUUAGCAAUGAUGUACUAGUUUUAGAAGUAUGCAAAAGAUGCACGGAUGUCGUAAUAGUAAAAAAUCUUACCAGUGUAUCUCCAUAGAAGUUACCGUGGUUCAACACGUGCACUAGUGGCAUGUAUUCACCAUAAUUUGGAGGAGUGCGAUAAUAGGUAUUGUAAUUCUCAAGAUAAGUACAAUAAGCAUUCAGAUGACUUUUCUCCUUAUAAGUUAAUUCGGAGCCAUCAGUGUAGUGGGUUUUGUCUACCAUCUUCUGCACAUUCUUUGAAGAUUCAAAAUAAGCUGUCAAUGGAAAUAAGCUGUCAACUAUUUUGAAAUAAACAAUAUAAAGUAGUUAAUAACUAUGUUUGAGAAACUCACAUUGCGGUAGAAUCGGAAGCGUAUCAACAAGGACCCAAAUGUCCAUAUUGUCUUGCUCGAUGUCAGGAUCACCAAGAUCCAUGGUGACAAUCAUACUCUCAUAAAAACCAUACAUUUUGCAAAGUGUUUCCCAAUUUUGGCAACCAAAAUGGGUUACGCUCUGAGAAUUGUACAUAUUUACUUCAAAAUUGAUAUCAUGAUGGGUCCUUAGGUGUAUUUUCUUUGUUUGAAAAUUUUCAUGGUCUUCCAAACCCAUCCUCUCCAAGACAUAGCGUCUUGCAUGGCAUGGGAUAAGCUAGUCGAAUUGUAAACAAUGAAAAUUAGACGUUGAAAUAGUUGAAGUCAUGCUUAAUUAUGAAAAAACACUUGUCGUUGUUGCGUACCAUUUCAACAUCGAAGGUCUCCUCGAGCUUAAUGCUGAAGCGCCAAUCUUCGUCCAGCUCAACGAACCUGUCGCACAUACCUCGAUCGUCGUGGCACCAGCUACACUCCCCCGGGAGACUAUCAUCGUCCGAGUACGACAUUUCCUACAUUCAUAAUUCAAAGAUUAAACUUGUACAAUUAAAUAUAUAUACUAAAAAACCUAAAUUAGAUCAUUAUUUUUUGAGAAAAUCCAGGCCACUCGAUAUUUACUACAAAUUCUAGCACAAGUCAUGCCAGAAUUCACGGGAAAAUCCGGCAGGACCUUUGCUAAAAAAGGACAUAUCGAGCACCUGAAAUUUGCCAGAACAGAAAUUAAUCAACACUCCAGCAAAACAUAGGCCACUCGGAGGUGUAAACUGAACAUGAACGGCCACUUGGGCAACCACAUAUCCUAUUUGAGCAACACAAGAUAUACAUGGAUAUUUGGCUGGUCCCACCUCGAUGUCGGAGGGGGUCGGUGACGGGGACGACGGCGGGGAUGAUGGAGGGGCUCCUUGAUUUCUACAAAAGCAAAAACCGUAUAAGUUAUCACUAAUACAUCCUAAAUAAUUGCUUAAACUAAAAAAUAACAACAAAUAUGACAUGUUCAACUAGUUUUAUUAAUUGAACUAGUUCUUACUAAAUAUAAACUUACUAUAAAUAGAAAAAAACUAGUUCUUUCUAAAAAUAAAGUAGUUCAACUAGUUAUAUUAAUUAUCUUACUAAAAAUACAUUAGGUCUAUUAACUCAACUAGUUCAACUAGUUUAUUAAUUUACUUACUAAACUAGUUCAACUACAACUAAAGUAGUUCAACUAGUUUAUUAAUUUACUUACUAAUUAUUUUAAACACUUACUAAAAAUAGUGAAAAUAAACUACAUUAUACAAUAGUUAACUAGUACAAUCACUACUACUAAUUAACAUCUACUACUGCUAAAAAUCAUUAUCUAUGAACCCUAAAUUAACAUCUACUACUACUAAAAACAUCUAGUACNNNNNNNNNNNNNNNNNNNNNNNNNNNNNNNNNNNNNNNNNNNNNNNNNNNNNNNNNNNNNNNNNNNNNNNNNNNNNNNNNNNNNNNNNNNNNNNNNNNNNNNNNNNNNNNNNNNNNNNNNNNNNNNNNNNNNNNNNNNNNNNNNNNNNNNNNNNNNNNNNNNNNNNNNNNNNNNNNNNNNNNNNNNNNNNNNNNNNNNNNNNNNNNNNNNNNNNNNNNNNNNNNNNNNNNNNNNNNNNNNNNNNNNNNNNNNNNNNNNNNNNNNNNNNNNNNNNNNNNNNNNNNNNNNNNNNNNNNNNNNNNNNNNNNNNNNNNNNNNNNNNNNNNNNNNNNNNNNNNNNNNNNNNNNNNNNNNNNNNNNNNNNNNNNNNNNNNNNNNNNNNNNNNNNNNNNNNNNNNNNNNNNNNNNNNNNNNNNNNNNNNNNNNNNNNNNNNNNNNNNNNNNNNNNNNNNNNNNNNNNNNNNNNNNNNNNNNNNNNNNNNNNNNNNNNNNNNNNNNNNNNNNNNNNNNNNNNNNNNNNNNNNNNNNNNNNNNNNNNNNNNNNNNNNNNNNNNNNNNNNNNNNNNNNNNNNNNNNNNNCGACGGUGAGGUCGAGAGCGGCGAUGAGGUAGAGAGCGGAGGGGGUGGGGGAGGCGGCGGCGACGGUGAGGUCGAGAGCGGCGGCGGGCGGCGGCGUUGAUGGUGACGGCGGCCUCGGGCGGCGGCGGUGAGGGCAGGCUCGGGCUCGGGCGGCGGCGACAGAGGAGUAGGGGAACAGUGGGGGGAGUAGGAGUUAGCGAAAUUUUGAGCGGGCGGGUGGUUAAGUCGAACUAGCAGUAGCGCACUUUAGGAAACGCGCUAUAGCUAAAGUAGCUAUAGCGCGUUUUCAGGAAAAACGCUACUGCUAAGUCUAAGCACGCAUAAAAAAUAUACGUUGGUCAUCAUUGAUCUUUUUGUGUAGAAUCUAAAUAGUCAACAUAUUUAAGGUGGUAAACACCUUGUUCGCUUAGCAGUAUGGGACUAAACUUAAUUAGGUGCAACACUUAGCAGCAGCGAGUUUUGCAGAAACACGCUGCUACUAAGUACUUUAGCAGCAGCGCGUCCAGGGAAGGGCGCAACUACUAUAUCUAGCCUGGGGGCAAAUCCGUGGCAAUUAUAGUAGUAGCGCUUGUUUCACCUAGAGCACUACUGCUAUCUAGUUAUUAGUAGCGCGGUUCCUUUAAGCUCGCUACUGCUAGUUAGCAGUAGCGCCUGUUUUUAAAUUGCGCUGCUGCUAAGAUUCUGUGUAUAACAUUUUCCGUAGUAGUGAUGGGAGACGCUCGGCUGGUGUGCGUCAUUGUCUCCAUUGUGCUCAACGCUAUGCUAUCUGAAAGUUUUUCCCCACAUUUUAGUUAGAAUGUUUUAUUGUGCUGCGAAGUUUGAAGUUGGAAGAAACCAAAAAAAAGUUCUUGCACAAAUCGCGAUGAAUGGCUAGAUAAGGAGAUGCACCUAAGCCUAUUCUCCACAAGAUAUGUUCCGUACGCUGCCCCCGGGGGCCUCCUCUGACGUAUCCAAGGCACUGUUUUGGUAACCAAACGAAAUUUCGCGAUCUCACCCGGUUACCGCGUUUAUCGCCCCCUCCCCUCGAGAAACACUCAUACCGGACAAAAAAUCUCAAUUUUUUUUGAAUAUUUUGGAUUCAAACGCUCAGAGUGUAGUUAAAUAUAGGCCAUCUCUUUUAUACUAACAUAAGCGGUCGUGGCCUGGUGGCAACUGUUGCCUUUCUUCAACAGCUUGUCACGGGUUCGAAUUUUGACCCACGCUUUUUAAUUUCUUUUUGAUAUGCAAAAGUUAAAAAAAACUUAAAAUUAUUGAAGUGGCAAGGGGUCGAGCGUGAUAAUUUUUGAAGUUAAGUCCCUAUCUAUAUCGACUUCAAAAAAUUUGAAUUCAAAAUUUAAUUUCAAAUUUCGUUCGAAUUUUUUUCGGUAUUUUGCGGUUACCAUGGUAACCGCGAAUUCCAGUGCCCCUCGAGAAAAAAUGUGCACUUGGGAUCCAAAACCUUGAUCCAAGGCGACCCCAACUUCGCCCACGCUUCCCAAUCCGCGCUCGCACGACACCUCACGUUGCAUUGCUCUGCACCGACCACCGCCUUCCACGCUCGCUUCUCUGACGCCACCGCACCAACGCACAUGCCCGACGGGCUGCUCCCAUCCAUGGCCUUCUCCAGCUCCCGGUGCGUGCUGGUGCAGAGCUAGUGGGGGAGCACGUGAACGACAUCGCCCACCACUAUGGAUCAAGAACUAUGGACGACGGCAGCCAGCGAGGCCAAGUGGCGGCAUGGCUACAAUUCUGAUGAGAUGGAGCACGCACUCAUUAGCCUCCACAGCCACCGAGUAAUUGGCCUUGCCGCGGAAGUGUGGCACUACUACUUGGCCUCAGCGCAGCAGCGACGCUCAGGGAGUAGUACUGCCGUUCACAACGACUUAACAAGAGGAUCUUGUACAACCCGAAAGACACGAAGCAACGAUGGAUCCACAGGAACAACACGGUGCCUUCAGAAGUGAAAGGAUCAAGGAGGGAGGUCGUUGUUCUCCCGGCUCCCCUCAUCUCCUUCUCUGGAGGCCGGAGUAGCGGUGGAUGGGGAGCCAGGGCCUCUCCUGAAUUUAGUAGUUUUGGUACAGGAUGCUUGCCUGGGGUUACCGUGAUGGCGCCUGGGAAGAUGUCGUUACAGUGCUUCCCACCGCUGCCUUUUUUUUACAAAAACGAUUCAGAACUUAUUAUCAAAGUUCAUCAAAAGUAAAAAAAUCUAAAACAUAAGAGAAAUUACAUCGAGAUUUGAAGGCUACCGAACAACCAUUACUACCACUAGAAGGAGCCACCGACCCUGCUAUUGCCGCUCCUCUACCGGAGCCGGCUUGAACGUGCAAUGACAGCCAAGAAGUCUUCGUGCACGUGCCACUAAUGACCAGUGCCCUAGAGCCGCAGUCAUCGCCGUUCAAUCCUUGCAUAGAUCUGAAGCACCUGACACCAAAUAUUUCCACAUGAUGAGAAACCCUAACCUCACUGCCCCAAGGAGAUGGCAGGAAUCUACGCUGGGGAUCCAUCAACUACAUACAGACGGACGAACUUGAGAAGGAUCGAAGCACGAAAUACCAACUCAAAGAAGUAGCACCAGCAUCUGCCCAAGUGUUGCACCCGCAAGGACUAAAAACCGUAACCUAAACUACCAACCGGUGUGGAGACACCCAGAUUCUCCUCCCCGCCACUGUCCACCGGAGCGGUAGGCAAAAGGGAGGCGAAUCCAUGGGCUCGAGGUGAAGUCUAGGUUUUUUUUGUCCUAAUGGCCUAUGAUUAGGGGAGGAAAAUGAGAGGCUGCCCACCGUUGCUUGCAUAGUGCACGGUGGUCGUCGAUAUCAUCUUCCGCUCUGGUUCCAUGGUGACGUGAAAGGGAGGCAACGGUUCUUUCGCUAGCUCCCUUAAUAAGCACGCACUCGCAUAGGAUCAAGUUUGUCUCAUGUCCUCUCCUCCUUAUUUUUGCCAUCAUGGCGACGCCAGAGGUGGAAGAGCACUACAGGACUUGGGCUUCUGAUAUAGUGAGGUAUUUUGUAAAGAUCUGUUAGAGGGCCUCCAGCAUGCCUCCUGUUGCUACAUUCAUCGUGAUGGUGGAGGCAUGGACGCGGUCAUUUUGAUGUGGUUCAAGAGCUCAUGGUGGUGGAUUUGGAGGAAUUUUGGUGCCUCGGGGUGGGCGUUCGGGUUUACCCAAAAUUCCGGGUCUGGUAAUUCGGAUUUUUAGAAAUUUGGGUUUCUAAAAUAAACACCCAAAAUAUUCCUGAAAAAGAGAAAUCCAAAAAUUCUGGUUUAGGUUCGGGUAUUCCUGAAUUACCCGAAUUAGCACAACAAACAAAAUGACAGCAGCAACUCGCGGCAUACUGAUGGCUGAUGCAGCGCUCCCCUUUGCUUCCCUCACUCAAAGGUUGUGGGAUGUAGCCUCACCUUGUUUGCUUCUCAUGGCGGCAGGAUACUGGGACUAGGAGGUCAUCGACCUUAUUGCAGAUUUGCAGGCGAAGGUGGUGAGCCUCGUGCGCGUCACAGAUAGUGGCAGCGAGGUGCAGACGAUGGUGACGAUGUUGGCGAAGUGGAUGGAGUUAAUGAGGUGGCCAACCUCCCGGCCGCAUUGCAUGCUCGUGGUUGCUAGGUCGGGACACAGGAUGUGGCCGACUGCAUUGCAUUGUAGCCGCUGGUUCGAGAGAGACGGAGAGGAAGGAACGAGGCGCCUAUGUGUGUGUGUGUGUGUGUGUGUGUGAGAGAGAGAGAGAGAGAGAGAGAGAGAGAGAAAUGGACUGCUCGACUAGUGGCACAACAUGGGAAGUGGAUGGGGGUCGCGACUAUGCUCGGUCGACCUAGGGAAAUCGAGGCCUUAUUCUUAUUCCCAUAUUGGGCUAGGUUGAUGCCAGAAGGUGGAAUUUUGAUUGGGCGGUACCAUGAGUUGGGACCCAAAUUUCCCAAAAAAUUGGGUUUCUCAAAAUGUUACCUGGUUUAGUUUUCCAGUUUUCCGGGUUAGGGCUAAAUGGGUUCUCGUUUGGGCGUUGGGUAUCGGGUUUUAUGCUCAUCGUGUGUGGUGCCCUUGUUGGUCAUGGCCUAGUUUCCUCCGAGGGGACACGUAUCUUGUGGUCAAAAGGGGACCAAUUUCAUUUCUUCUGACCAUGAUGCCAGAGAUGAGACAAGUUGCUUAAAGGUGGAUUAUUCAAUGCCAUGUUGUCAUGGAGGUCUCGCCGUCUCAAGUGGUGUCAUUCGUGGACCAACGAGACUAGCACUACUAGGGAAAAGCCUAGCAGCAGCGCGGGUUUUGGGCCUCUCAGUAGCGCGGGGACCGGCGCUACUAAUAAGGCGCUACAGCUAACAGGUAGCGCCUGUUGUCCCAUGCUACUGCUAUACAUGAAUAGCUGUAGCACUCUUUAGAAAAGGGCGCUGCUGAUAUUAUCUGCAGCGCUGUUUACUGGGAAGCGCUACUGGUAAGGCGGUGCUACUACUAAAUUUUUCCUCCUCGCUACUACUAGUUUUAUUAGUUUUUUCCCUGCAUAUUUGUUUUGUAUUUGAAUAGGCUUUAUACAAUAAUCUUUAGCAUAUCAUACACCUACAAAUGUAAUCAUAGCAUAUACAUACAAUUAGUCUCAUCAAAUCAUGUCAUCAUCAUAAUCAUCAUCCAACACAAAGUGGUCUCUCGUCAUCACCUCAAAAAUAGUGAUACAAGUCUUGAUUACUUGCAAAUACAUCAUCAUCCAUCUAAACAAUGAUAUACGCGAGAAGAGCUAUCACUUUGAGUACAUGAGUUCGUAUCCCUCUCUCGCAUUAGCAUGAACCUAAACUAACUACUGCCUGUCACUCGGAAACCAGAAACCGGUACACAUGGGCCUGACACUCCGGCCACUUGUCGUAUAUACACUCCUGGCGUAGCACUUCUUCGCCAUCUAUGAUCUAUGCACCUGCAUCGUCACAUGAGUCGAUGAUAUGCAACAUAUAUAGUUGAGCAACAGAAAGAGACAGACUUGGCAAAAAUAGAAACAACAUAUCAUAAGCAUAAAUAACAAAGUUCAUCGUACCCCAAAAUGCCCUAACUAGAGUGAUUUUCGCUAGUCGAGGAGGAGGAGGACGGUUUAAUUACAUCACAAAUAAAGUUUCACCGUGCAUAACUCAAAGUUUUUUCAUACAGAAAGUAUGGACUUAACGGACACAUUGUCAUAUAUCGACAAUCACUCCAACAUGUCGUUCCAUCCAUCCAAGUCAGGGAGAUAGUCCUCGAGCUUAGUGAAAGGCUUCAUGUCGAGACGCUGAGAGGCUAUCCAUGUUCGGACGUCUUCCCGUGACAUUUGUCCUUCUCCGUAGAACAUCCCUGUUUUUCCGACGACCUCCUUCAUGAUGAUUUGGGCAAGUUCGCGCUGGAUGUUAUAGAACUCAGCUCGAAGACGAUGAUCCUCGAUAUCUCCUAUGUCCUUUUCCCAUUGCAGAAUAUGGGCAUCGAAGGAUCUAGGUGACAUGCGAAGGUUCUGGUGAUCCCGUCUGUACUCCAGCAUGUGGUGUAGGACAUAGAAUCCAUCAUUAAGAGAAUCGUUCGGUUGCUGGAUGCAGCAGAAGUCGGUCUUAUGGCCGAAGGCGACCCUGCCGCCCCUUCUCUUCUUGUCCCUGACCUCUCCACCCCUUGCUUGGUAGUAAAACAUAGCACUGUCGAACAUCCUUGAUGUGGGUGUAAUCCUUUUUGUGAAUGUUCUUCGACGAGUCCAAGUAAAGAGCGUGGGAGAAUCGGGGGUAGAUGAUGAUGAGGACGGCGCACCCGCUGCAGCGCAAAAUAAGUACACCUCAAAUUAAUUAGCCUACACCGUCCAAAUGAAUGAUUGAAAUCGAAGGAAGGAUAGCAGCGCGUAUUCACGGUGCUUUGCGCAGACUCCCAAGAAGCCCUCUGAUGUCUACUACACAACCUUCUUCUUGUAGACGUUGUUGGGCCUCCAAGUGCAGAGGUUUGUAUGACAGUAGCAAAUUUCCCUCAAGUGGAUGACCUAAGGUUUAUCAAUCCGUAAGAGGCGUAGGAUGAAGAUGGUCUCUCUCAAGCAAACCUGCUCUUGUGUCCCCAACACACCCAAUACAAUGGUAAAUUGUAUAGGUGCACUAGUUCGGCGAAGAGAUGGUGAUACAAGUGGUAUAUGGAUAGUAGAUAAUAGUUUUUUUAAUCUGAAAAUAUAAAAACAGCAAGGUAACGAAUGAUAAAAGUGAGCGUAAAUGGUAUUGCAAUGUGUGGAAACAAGGCCUAGGGUUCAUACUUUCGCUAGUGUAAGUUCCCUCAACAAUACUAACAUAAUUGGAUCACAUAACUAUCCCUCAACAUGCAACAAAGAGUCACUCCAAAGUCACUAAUAGCGGAGAAUGAACAAAGAGAUUAUGGUAGGGUACGAAACCACCUCAAAGUUAUUCUUUCCAAUCAAUCCGUUGGGCUAUUCCUAUAAGUGUCACAAACAGCCCUAGAGUUCGUACUAGAAUAACACCUUAAGAAACAAAUCAACCAAAACCCUAAUAUCACCUAGUUACUCCAUUGUCACCUCAAAUAUCCGUGGGCAUGAUUAUACGAUAUGCAUCACACAAUCUCAAUUCAUCUAUUCAACCAACACAUAGAACCUCAAAGAGUGCCCCAAAGUUUUUACCGGAGAAUCACGACGAAAACGUGUGCCAACCCCUAUGCAUAGGUUCAUGGGCGGAACCCGCAAGUUGGUCACCAAAACAUACAUCAAGUGGCAUGUGGUAUCCCAUUGUCACCACAAAUAUCCACGGCAAGACAUACAUCAAGUGUUCUCAAAUCUUUAAAGACUCAAUCCGAUAAGAUAACUUUAAAGGGGAAACUCAAUUCAUUACAAGGGAGAAGAGGGGGAGGAGAAACAUAGGAUCCAACUAUAAUAGCAAAGCUCGUGAUACAUCAAGAUCGUCCCAAAUCAAGAACACGAGAGAGAGAGAGAGAGAGAGAGAGAGAGAGAGAGAUCAAACACAUAGCUACUGGUACAUACCCUCAGCCCCGAGGGAGAACUACUCCCUCCUCGUCAUGGAGAGCGCCGGGAUGAUGAAGAUGGCCACCGGCGAGGGUUCCCCCCUCCGGCAGGGUGCCGAAACAGGGUCCCGAUUGACUUUUGGUGGCUACAGAGGCUUGCGGCAGCGGAACUCCUGAUCUAUUGUUCGUUCUAGAAGUUUUAGGGUACGACGAUAUAUAUGGGUGCAUGAAGUACGUCAGAGGAGCCACGGGGGAGGCAGGGGGGCGCGCCCUAGGGGGGUGGGCGCACCCCCCACCCUCGUGGGCAGCCCGUGUCUCCCCUGACGUGCACUCCAAGUUCCCUGGGUUGCUUUCCUUCCAAAAAUAACUUCUCCAGUUGAUUUUGUUCCGUUUCGACUUCGUUUGAUAUUCCUUUUCUUCGAAACACUGAAAUAGGCAAAAAACAACAAAUCUGGGUUGGGCCUCCAGUUAAUAGGUUAGUCCCAAAAGUAAUAUAAAAGUGGAAAAUAAAGCCCAAUAUUGCCCAAAACAGUAGAUAAUAUAGCAUGGAGCAAUCAAAAAUUAUAGAUACGUUGGAGACGUAUCAGGCAUCCCCAAGCUUAAUUCCUGCUCGUCCUCGAGUAGGUAAAUGAUAAAAAGAUAAUUUUUGAUGUGGAAGGCUAGUUGGCAUAAUUUCAAUGUAAUUCCUCUUAAUUGUGGUAUGAAUAUUCAGAUCCAUAAGAUUCAAGACAAAAGUUCAUAUUGACAUAAAAAUAAUAAUACUUCAAGCAUACUAACUAAGCAAUCAUGUCUUCUCAAAAUAACAUGGCCAAAGAAAGUUAUCCCUACAAAAUCAUAUAGUCUGGCUAUGCUCCAUCUUCACCACACAAAAUAUUUAAAUCAUGCACAACCCCUAUGACAAGCCAAGCAAUUGUUUCAUACUUUUGAUGUUCUCAAACUUUUUCAAUCUUCACGCAAUACAUGAGCGUGAGCCAUGGACAUAGCACUAUAGGUGGAAUAGAAUGGUGGUUGUGGAGAAGACAAAAAGGGAGAAGAUAGUCUGACAUCGACUAGGCGUAUCAACGGGCUAUGGAGAUGACCAUCAAUAGAUAUCAAUGUGAGUGAGUAGGGAUUGCCAUGCAACGGAUGCACUAGAGCUAUAAGUAUAUGAAAGCUCAACACAAGAAACCAGUGGGUGUGCAUCCAACUCGCUUGCUCAUGAAGACCUAGGGCAUUUUGAGGAAGCCCAUCAUUGGAAUAUACAAGCCAAGUUCUAUAAUGAAAGAUUCCCACUAGUAUAUGAAAGUGACAACAUAGGAGACUCUCUCUCAUGAAGAUCAUGGUGCUACUUUGAAGCACAAGUGUGGUAAAAGGAUAGUAGCAUUGUCCCUUUUAUUUUUUAUUUUUUAUUUGGCCUUCCUUUUUUUAUUUGGCCUUUCUUUUUUUAUUUGGCCUUUCUAUUUUCUUUUUUUGGGACAAUGCUCUAUUGAAUGAUGAUCAUCACACUUCUAUUUAUUUACAACUCAAUGAUACAACUCGAUAAUAGAGCAAAGUAUGACUCUAUAUGAAUGCCUCCGGCGGUGUACCGGGAUGUGCAAUGAUGCAUGAGUGACAUGUAUGAAAGACUUAUGAAGGGUGGCUUUGCCACAAAUACGAUGUCAACUACAUGAUCAUGCUAAGAAAUAUGACAAUGAUGAAUGUGUCAUGAUGAAUGGAAUGGUGGAAAGUUGCGUGACAAUAUAUCUCGGAAUGGCUAUGGAAAUGCCAUAAUAGGUAGGUAUGGUGGCUGUUUUGAGGAAGGUAUAUGGUACCGGUGAAAGUUGCGCGGUACUAGAGAGGCUAGCAAUGGUGGAAGGGUGAGAGUGCGUAUAAUCCAUGGACUCAACAUUAGUCAUAAAGAACUCACAUACUUAUUGCAAAAAUCUACAAGUUAUCAAAGCAAAGUAUUACGCGCAUGCUCCUAGGGGGAUAUAUUGGUAGGAAAAGACCAUCGCUCGUCCCCGACCGCCACUCAUAAGGAAGACAAUCAAUAAAUAAAUCAUGCUCCGACUUCAUCACAUAACGGUUCACCAUACGUGCAUGCUACGGGAAUCACAAGCUUCAACACAAGUACUUCUCAAAUUCACAACUACUCAACUAGCAUGACUCUAAUAUCACCAUCCUCAUAUCUCAAAACAAUUAUCAAGCAUCAAACUUCUCAUAGUAUUCAACACACUCAUAAGAAAGUUUUGUUAUUCUUGAAUACCUAGCAUAUUAGGAUUUUAGGAAAAUUAUCAUGCUAUUUAAGACUCUCAGAAUGAUAUAAGUGAAGAAUGAGAGUUCAUCUAUUCCUUCAAAAUAAAACUACCACCAUGCUCUAAAAGAUAUAAGUGAAGCACUAGAGCAAAUGACAAACUACUCCGAAAGAUAUAAGUGAAGAUCAAUGAGUUGUCGAAUAAUUAUGCAACUAUGUGAAGACUCUCUAACAUUUAAUAAUUUCAGAUCUUGGUAUUCUAUUCAAACAGCAAGCAAAGCAAAAUAAAAUGACAUCUAAGAAUAGCAAACAUGUAAAGAAGCAAAAACUUAGGAUCAACCGAUACUAACCGAUAGUUGUUGAAGAAGAAAGGUGGGAUACCAACCGGGGCAUCCCCAAGCUUAGACGCUUGAGACUUCUUGAAAUAUUAUCUUGGGGUGCCUUGGGCAUCCCCAAGCUUGAGCUUUUGUGUCUCCUUAAUUCCUCUCAUAUCACGGUCUCCCUAAAUCUCAAAAGCUUCAUCCACACAAAACUCAACAAGGACUCAUGAGAUAAGUUAGUAUAAACCAUUGCCAAAAAAUUAUCAUAUUCUACUGUAGCAAAUCACUAAAAUUAUUAUUCAACAUUGCAAACUAAAUUCCUCUGCAUAUUUAAUAGUCCUAUCCUCAAAUAGAAUCAUUAAAGAAGCAACCAUAUGCAAACAAUGCAAACAUAACAACAAUCUGCCUAAACAGGAUAGUCUAUAAAGAAUGCUGCAACAUCCAUACUUCCCUAGCUCCAAAAAUUAUGAAAUAAAAUUCCCACUGUAGUAAAUUUAUCAGAUCUUAGUAUGCAAAAGGUUUCAACAUUUUAUCACAUUCUGACUUUUCUAGGGAAUUAUUGCAACAGUGGUAAACUUUCUGUUUUCAAACAGCAACAUGUAUACUUGUAACAUAGGCAUAGUAAAGGCUAUCAAUGCCACUUUUAUUGAAAUAAAAGAUGCAAAACAUUUUUCUAAAUAACAACAAGAAAAUCCUAACAAAAUAAAUUGACGCUCCAAGCAAAACACAUAUCAUGUGGCGAAUAAAAAUAUAGCUCCAAGUAAAGUUACCGAUGAACGAAGACGAAGUAGGGGAUGCCUUCCGAGGCAUCCCCAAGCUUAGGCUCUUGGAUAUCCUUGAAUAUUAUCUUGGGGUGCCUUGGGCAUCCCCAAUCUUAGGCUCUUUCCACUCCUUGUUCCAUAGUCCAUCAAAUCCUUACCCAAAACUUGAAAACUUCACAACACAAAACUUAAAGUAGAAAACUCGUAAGCUCCGUUAGUGUAAGAAAAUAAAUCACCACUUCAAUGUACUAUAAUGAAUUCAUUAUUUAUUUAUAUUGGUGUUAAACCUACUGUAUUCCAACUUCUCUAUGGUUUAUAAACUAUUUUACUAGCCAUAGAUUCAUCAAAAUAAGCAAACAACACAUCGAAAACAGAAUCUGUCAAAAACAGAAUAGUCUGUAGUAAUCUGGAUCAAACGUAUACUUCUGGAACUCAUAAAAUUCUCAAAUAAAUUGCUGGACCUGAGGAAUUUAUCUAUUAAUCAUAUGCAAAAAUAAUUAACUAAAUAUCACUUCCCAAAUAAAAAUGGCAGCAAUUCUCGUGAGCGCUAAAGUUUCUGUUUUUUACAGCAAGAUCAACAAGACUUCCCCAAGUCUUCCCAACGGUUCUACUUGGCCCAAACACUAAUUAAAUGCAUAAAACCACAUCUAAAAAGAGGCUAGAUGAAUUAUUUAUUACUAAACAGGAACAAAAAUCAAGGAAUAAAAAUAAAGUUGGGUUGCCUCCCAACAAGCGCUAUCGUUUAACGCCCCUAGCUAGGCAUGAUAAUGACAAUGAUGCUCACAUAAAAGAUAAGAAUUGAAAUAUAGAGAAAGCAUCAUGAAGAAUAUGACUAGCACAUUUAAGCCUGACCCACUUCCUAUGCAUAGGGAUUUUGUGAUCAAACAACUUAUGGGAACAAUAAUCAACUAGCAUAGGAAGGCAAAACAAGCAUAACUUCAGGAUUUUAAGCACAUAGAGAGGAAACUUGAUAUUAUUGCAAUUCCUACAAGCAUAUGUUCCUCCCUCAUAAUAAUUUUCAGUAGCAUCAUGAAUGAAUUCAACAAUAUAACCAGCACCUAAAGCAUUCUUUUCAUGAUCUACAAGCAUGCAAAAUUUACUACUCUCCACAUAAGCAAAAUUCUUCUCAUUAAUAGUAGUGGGAGCAAACUCAACAAAGUAACUAUCAUGGGAUUGAAAAUUGAAAUCAAGAUGACAAGUUUCAUUGUUAUCAUUAUUCUUUAAAGCAUACGUGUCAUCACAAUAAUCAUCAUAGAUAGGAGGCAUGCUUUCAUCAUAGUAAAUUUGCUCAUCAAACCUUGGGGGACUAAAAAUAUCAUCUUCAUCAUACAUAGCUUCCCCAAGCUUGUGGCUUUGCAUAUCAUUAGCAUCAUAGAUAUUCAAGGAAUUCAUACUAACAACAUUGCAAUCAUGCUCAUCAUUCAAAUAUUUAGUGCCAAACAUUUUAUAGAUUUCUUCUUCUAGCACUUGAGCACAGUUAUCCUUUCCAUCAUACUCACGAAAGAUAUUAAAAAGGUGAAGCGUAUGAGACAAACUCAAUUCCAUUUUUUGUAAUUUUGUUUUAUAAACUAAACUAGUGAUAAAAAAAUAAACUAAAAGACUCGAUUGCCAGAUCUAAAGAUAUACCUUCAAGCGCUAACCUCCCCGGCAACGGCGCCAGAAAAGAGCUUGAUGUCUACUACACAACCUUCUUCUUGUAGACGUUGUUGGGCCUCCAAGUGCAGAGGUUUGUAGGACAGUAGCAAAUUCCUCUCAAGUGGAUGACCUAAGGUUUAUCAAUCCAUAAGAGGCGUAGGAUGAAGAUGGUCUCUCUCAAGCAACCCUGCAACCAAAUAACAAAGAGUCUCUUGUGUCCCCAACACACCCAAUACAAUGGUAAAUUGUAUAGGUGCACUAGUUCGGCGAAGAGAUGGUGAUACAAGUGGUAUAUGGAUAGUAGAUAAUAGUUUUUGUAAUAUUGAAAAUAUUAAAACAGCAAGGUAACGAAUGAUAAAGGUGAGCGUAAACGGUAUUGCAAUGUGUGGAAACAAGGCCUAGGGUUCAUACUUUCGCUAGUGUAAGUUCCCUCAACAAUACUAACAUAAUUGGAUCACAUAACUAUCCCUCAACAUGCAACAAAGAGUCACUCCAAAGUCACUAAUAGCGGAGAACGAACGAAGAGAUUAUGGUAGGGUACAAAACCACCUCAAAGUUAUUCUUUCCAAUCAAUCCGUUGGGCUAUUCCUAUAAGUGUCACAAACAUCCCUAGAGUUCGUACUAGAAUAACACAUUAAGACACAAAUCAACCAAAACCCUAAUGUCACCUAGAUACUCCAUUGUCACCUCAUGUAUCCGUGGGCAUGAUUAUACGAUAUGCAUCACACAAUCUCAAUUCAUCUAUUCAACCAACACAUAGAACCUCAAAGAGUGCCCCAAAGUUUCUACCGGAGAAUCACGACGAAAACGUGUGCCAACCCCUAUGCAUAGGUUCAUGGGCGGAACCCGCAAGUUGGUCACCAAAACAUACAUCAAGUGGCACGUGGUAUCCCAUUGUCACCACAGAUAUCCACGGCAAGACAUACAUCAAGUGUUCUCAAAUCUUUAAAGACUCAAUCCAUAAGAUAACUUCAAAGGGGAAACUCAAUUCAUUACAAGAGAGAAGAGGGGGAGGAGAAACAUAGGAUCCAACUAUAAUAGCAAAGCUCGCGAUACAUCAAGAUCGUGCCAAAUCAAGAACACGAGAGAGAGAGAGAGAGAGAGAUCAAACACAUAGCUACUGGUACAUACCCUCAGCCCCGAGGGAGAACUACUCCCUCCUCGUCAUGGAGAGCGCCGGGAUGAUGAAGAUGUCCACCGGUGAGGGUUCCCCCCUCCGGCAGGGUGCCGGAACAGGGUCCCGAUUGUAUUUUGGUGGCUACAGAGGCUUGCGGCGGUGGAACUCCCGAUCUAUUGUUCGUUCUGGAAGUUUUAGGGUACGACGAUAUAUAUGGGUGCAGGAAGUACGUCGGAGGAGCCACGGGGGCCCCACGAGGCAGGGGCGCGCCCUAGGGGGGUGGGGGCGCCCCCCACCCUCGUGGGCAGCCCGUGUCUCCCCUGACGUGCACUCCAAGUUCCCUGGGUUGCUUUCCUUCCAAAAAUAACUUCUCCAGUUGAUUUCGUUCCGUUUCGACUUUGUUUGAUAUUCCUUUUCUUCGAAACACUGAAAUAGGCAAAAACAACAAAUCUGGGCUGGGCCUCCAGUUAAUAGGUUAGUCCCAAAACUAAUAUAAAAGUGGAAAAUAAAGCCCAAUAUUGCCUAAAACAGUAGAUAAUAUAGCAUGGAGCAAUCAAAAAUUAUAGAUACGUUGGAGAAGUAUCACCCUCGUGCAUGUAGUACGGGUCAGUGACACAGAUAUGAGAUAUCUGCUCAACCCCGAUGAUGUAGUUCAUGUGCAAGGCAUAAAGGCGGACAAACGUAAAAUCCAGCUUCUUCACGUGAAACAUGUCGAAUAUGUAAUCGAAUCGGAGGAAGAACUUAUUUGCGGGGAAGUUGUCGACGUACGACAUUUGCCGUGGAACGUUAACCAUGCAGAGUGGGUAUCCUGGAUCUUUCAAGGCGAUGAGGCCUUUCUCUACCCGCAGCACAUCGUCAUGAAGUCUCCUUAGAUCGCCGAAUCUGACCCGUAGCGCUGUUGCAGGUAGGAUUGGUUGACCGGGGAUAUGCCAUUUAUCCGCAUCGGGGAUAUCUAUACGGUCCUGAAGCCGAGGCUGCUGGAUCAUAGAAUUAGCUUUUUUGCGUUUCCUUGCUCUCUUCCUAGACUUCUUUACUACCGGAAGGUCGUCCAUAAUACGUUGAGACAGCAAUUCAGGCACCGACUCAUGACGCUCAAACCCUGAGGAGGCACCAGUAUAGACAUACUGUUCAGCGCCAUCGUCGUCCUCAUCCUCAUCCAUGGCGACAUCAUCAGCGACUAAUGGAGCCUCCUCCUUACCCCGUCCGCUAUCACCCAACCCGAUACCCAAUGCUAAUUGGGUAGGUGGGGGUUGAUGUUCAUACCUUGCUGAGGCUGCAUGCUUGUGGGUGUGCUCCCGGCCGCCUCCAGACGAAGCAGACUCUUUGGCCACAAUAGGACCCACCCAUUGCAACAAUCACCAAGCCACCGAGGUGUCUCGUCGUCAUCCCCCACUAUUAUUGGAGGAGGCAAAUUCUCGUGGCCCGGUUUGACACUGGCCACGGAAACCUUGAAGACGUUCGGGGGGAUCGGCCGGCUGUGGAAUAAUGGUUCCUUCGGCUCCAUUAUCGUCGCCUUCCCCACGUCCACCUUCUGGUCCCCGAUGGUGUACGAUAUGGUGCACGGGGUUUCGUCGGCCCACAAAGAAAAGUCUGUGACGUGAGACAUCUGAAAGGCAACGAAAACGGGAGAUUAUACAUUUAUAUUGAAUGGGGCCGGUGUGACAGAUACCGUGAGGGCGUCGAGCUCAGCCAAAGAAGAAGCACCACCGAGCACGUCCGGUGCGGGAGCCGGUGCGGGAGCAGGUGCGGGUGCAACGCUAGUCGAGCUGCUCCCCAAGAAGUCAGCAAGGGGAAAGUCCUCUGCAUUUUUUUCUGGAUUUUGCCUUGUCCAAGUGAAAACGCCCGUCACCAAGGAAGUAGACAAAUCUGCAACCACCUGUUUUGCGGCGGCUACCGCUGUUGCGACUAUCUGAGAUGAUUUCUUCUCAACCGCAAUCUCAACCUUCUUGUCGAUGUUUUCUUUCGUUAACCUCUGUCUUUCCUUUCUCUCCUCCGUGGUCUCACGGAAGUACUUCUUCCACGUGGCGCCGUCUCCAACACCGUGCACGCGUCCAUACGACGGUCGAGUAUCCACCGGUUGUCGUUUCAAUAUGUUCAACGCCCGGUUGAAUGGAGUGUCCCACUUGGGCCUCGCCAAUGCCUCAGACGGCGAGUCGCUUUCGGCCGCAAUCCGGUGCUGCUCUCUCUGCAAAAGGCACAAGGAUCGUUUACAAAUAUGACUAACAUGUGCAGUCGAAUUGAUCAGAAACUAAAAUUACCAGCAGACACAUGAACUCCGUAAUGACCGGUUUUGUCUCGUAAACCUUCUUCACUAGGUCCCAACGGUGCCGGGCUCUGAGGACGUCACGCUCCUGCGGAACGGUGAAAUCCGCCAAGGGGUCUGGGAUGCCCAGACUCGCGGCUUCCGCGUCCUCCUUGGCCCAUUUGGACCUCUUUCCACCGUAACCACGGCUUUCGAGGUGGUGGCUCCCAAUGUUCCUCUCUUGAAGCCCCUUCAUGUACUUAGACUUUUUUUUGGCAGCUUCGGCCUCACAAGCCUCCUUGAAUAUUUGAAACUGCUCUUCCGUGAUUGUCGGAUUAUCCUUUACAAUCUCGGAGUAGGGUUCCUUCUUGUCGAUGAUCUUUGCUUUCACUCGAUUUUCCAGGCGGCCAACGCGUCGCUAAACUUGGUCAAUGGCGUGUUUGUUUAUCUUCUUCAUUGCCGGGUUGUCAUCUGGAUCUUGAUAAUCCUUCUCAUUCUGGCCCGGGAACAAGAAUAUCUGGUGAAACUUCUUUAGGACGGAGCUCCUCAUAUUUUCUAUCUUCUGUAGUUUCUCAUCAUUGAUGGUGGCGGUUGUCUGUACGAUGCAGCCUAUUUGAUUGCCGAAGCAUCAACGCGCUUCCUCGUGCGCCUUUGGCUCAAAAUUUCCAUCAUCCACCUCCGUGACCACCAUUCUAGUAGUCCUGAGUUUGUUAGGAAGCCGUUGCCUCUUUGCUUUCAGUUCUACACCGGCUCCGCUCCCCGAGGCAGCGCCGGUCUCAGUCUCAGCGCCGGUCUCAAUGCCGGUCUGAGUCUCAGCGCUGGUCUCAGUCUCAGCACCGGUCUGCGUGUCGGUCUCAGUCCCCGAUGCCACCGGUGGGCCCAACAACAACAUCGGUUGAUCGUCGGCAAGGCUAAAAAAAUCGUCUGCCGCCCGGUAGACGUCGUCGCAAUCACCAGAACCCUGUCCUUCAUCGUUGCUAGCCAUGUUUCCUAUGAUUAAAUCUAGUCAAUUAAUUCUAGACCUAAUAAAAUGAAUAAUGACAUAAAAAAGGCCUAUUGUUUUGCAGGAAUGUUGACUCCUUCCUGGUGCGGCAAAUCCCGGGCACUCGAUAUGUCCUAGUUUGUAGCACAAGUCAUGCCGAAAUUCACAGAAAAAUUCGGCACGACCUUUGCUAAAAAGUGGACAAAUCGAGAACCUGAAAUUUGCCGGAACAGAAAUGAAUCAACAUUCCGGCAAAACAAAGGCCACUCGGCAUCAUUCCCUGGAAACAACAAAGCCACUUGGGCACAAUCGAACAACUUCAAUGGAAAGAUAUAACAUGAGCAAACACUAUUGAGGAAUUUGCAUAUAACAUGGCCACUUCAAUGAAAAGAUAUAAUCAACAAUAAUGGAAUAUGCAAAUGAACAUCAAUGACAUAUAUCAUAUAAAAACAGUCUUGUUUUUUGUUUACAUAGCAACAAUUAGUUUGACCAAGUUUUUGAAAAGAAAAACAAUUCAGUUUUUUGUUUAUAGCUAAAUGCCAUAGCUACUGUUUUUUAUUUAUAGCUAAAUACUUUUGUUUUUUGUCUAAAGCUAAAAGUCUAGGAACUCCAUUUUCUCUAACCCUUCUGACCUCACCAAAAUUUCCACAACAAGACCUUAGUACCUACACCCAAUUUCUUAAAAAAUAUUUAGGUCCAUAGUCCAAAUAAUUCAAAUUUCAUUUGAAUGAAUUUUGGAACAAAUUCAGGUCCAUAGUCCAAAUAUUUUUUUAUAGAUAAGUUUUUUUUUGUUUAUAGCCUCUGUUAAUUGAAAUCUGAAUGCUACUAUUAUUCAUAUACCCUCUAUUAGUUUAAAGCUAAAUGGAAUUACUGUUUAGGCAUUUUCAUAAAAAUUGCACUAGCUAAUUUCCUAAAAAAUUGCUAACCAUUUUUCCUAAAUGCUAUAAAAUGCCUACUGCCCUAAAAAAUCUAGGGUUCAUAUGAACAUCAACACAGUAUCAACAUAUAUAUGAAUUGCCCUAGCAGAGAGAGAGAGGAGGGUAGGGGAUAGGAGAGGCAGAGCCUUACGGUCGGCGGCGAGGGCAGGCUCUGGCUCGGGUGGCGGCGGUGAGGUCGAGGGCGGCGGCGGUGAGCUCGAGGGAGGCGACGGUGAGGUCGACGAUGGCCUCGGGCGGCGGCUGUGAGGUCGAGGGCGGCCUCGGGCGGCGGCGGUGUGGUCGAAGGCGGCGGGCAGCGGCGGUGUGGUCGAAGGCGGCCUCGGGCGGUGGCGGUGUGGUCGAAGGCGGCAGGGCGACGGUGUCGAUGGAGCAGUUGGGGGACAGGGGGCCGGGAGUAGAGAGGGAGGAAAGGACUUAGCGAAAUUUUGAGCCCGGGCUGCCGGGAUUUGUGUCAAACUAGCAGUAGCACGUUUUGCCGAAACGCGCUAUAGCUAAGAUAGCUAUAGCGUGUUCCAGAGAAACGCGCUACAGCUAUUCCUUUCUGUUUUAUUUUUAUUUUUCUUUUAGUUUCUUUACAUUUUCUUUUUUCCAUUUCUCCUUUUUCUAUUUCUUUUAUUUUUUUAUUUAUUUCUUUUCAUAGCAGUAGCGCUCUACAACAUAAACGUGCUGCUACAAAGUUUUUAGCAGUAGCGUGCUUCUAGGUGAACCGCUACUAUUAUUCCUAGCCUACCGGCAUUAGUGAGGGAAUUUUAGUAGUAGCGCUUUUCCGUGAAGACGCGCUACUGCUAAAACAAUGGUUGUAGCGUGGUUUUGCAACAAGCGCUACUACUAAGUAGCGCUAGCGCCGAGUUUUGACCAACGCUACUGCUAUACCUCUGUGUAUAAGGUUUUCCCUAGUAGUGUAGGUCCAUUGGGGAGCAAAAUCAGAGCCGAUUGCAAUAUGAGUUCUUUGUUUUUGUUUGGGGUUUCUUCUGCAAGAUGCAUAAUCUAGUUCAUAAUUUUGAGUUUCCUUUGGAUCCUGUUUAUAAAUUGUACUCGCAUGCUUAUCUAAUCGAUAUUAGGUCUUAAAAAAGAGUGAAAUGGUCUAUUGUCCGUGUGUUACUCUAAUUUGUUGUAGGAUAGCGAUGAUGAGCAAUAGAUUUUUAGAAAACGAACCUUACUAGGAUUUUUAGGAGAUCUGUUUUACUAUCUUUUUUGUUAAGAAUAGGCUUAAGAAAGUCUUGUCUGGUCCUUGAUUAGAUUUUGGAUAUUUAGAGCAUCUACAACCGCCAUGAGCAAAUCAGGCCCCUCAAACGCCUGCGGACGCACCCGGAGACAUCCGCCCGCACUGACCGGGCAUGCCUCAUAUUUGCCACUCUGCAUACAUGUAUCUCAUAUUCGGAGCCUUAUCUCCAUACUACACAUGCAACGUUGAUCUACUCUACAUGAUCAAACGAUGGACAAUAAAAGUCGGCUGCAAAGGAACAUAAGAUCACUGCAAACGGACAUUAACAAACUUGGGCACAUCCAAAAGAUCAUAGUUCGUCACCGGACAAGUUCUUAAACCUCUACAACUAAAACGAUAUAAAAAUGAGGACAGAGGGAUGAACAUUUCCUCGCCGGGCCUUUGCCCUUCCGGUCGCCGGCGCAGCUGUAGGCGUUAUUCGUUAGAUCUUACAUGGAGAUCCAUGUAAAAUUUCCUUUUAAGUUUUUUCUUUCUUCUUUAUUAUAUGUUUUGUCACUUGACUGAGACGUCAUUAAGUCUUAGUCGGCUGAGAUCUAGCCACACCCUUUAUUUACCUUAGCACCUGUAUAGGCAUUUUGCAUGAGAGAUAGCCUUAACAUAAUUUGUUUUCCACGACGUGUUCUCUCACAAUUUUUCUGUCAUGUACCCAACUAUGAGUAGGCAAGUAUUAUUUGUGUUUUGCUCUUACACUGCCCUCAAUGUAAUUGAACCAAGAGCCAACAGAAGGUUUCUUUUUUGGUGGGGAAGCACAAGCUUUUAUUUUGAUACACAUGAUUAAUUAUUGGAGAUAGAUACUACUAUACACAAAUGCUUGUAUCCAAUAUUUGGAUUUCCAUAUCCUCUAAGACAUUACACAAAUGCUUGUAUCCAACAUUUGGAUUUCCAUAUCCUUUAAGACUUUGCACAAAUGCUUGUAUCCAAUAUUUGGAUUUUCAUAUCCUCUAAGACAUUUCACAAUAUUCCAAUAUUUGGAUUUCCAUAUCCUCUAAGACAUUACACAAAUGCUUGUGUCCAAUAUUUGGAUUUCCAUAUCCUCUAAGGCAUCGAAUGCAAAGCAAAGAGGAGUGCAAUAAAUAGCACUCAAACCACGUUCUUCUCCUCACACCAUCAUUCCAACAACUUAUUUUGAUCACUUGGCCAUGGCGUUCAGUGGCGCCCAGAUGCUCGCUGCCUUCACCUUGGGCUUUCUUCUCAUGGCCUUCUGUAAGUUCAUGUAGCAGAUUUUUAUCGCAAUUCCAUGCAAUUUUUGAUCAAUCAAUGAAACAAUUGCUACUAUAAUUUUAUGGUGCACACAUUAAUUCUAACUCACAUGCAGGUGUAGAUGGUCGGGUAUGCACGUCCCCUAGCAAGUUGUACAAAAGGAGCCCUUGCAAGAACAUGGGCUGCACCGCGGCCUGUCACAAAGAGCACUUCAAGGGUGGGUACUGUGCCACUAAGAAGACAAUUGUUGGUGAUGAGCUCAACGAAGACAACGAUGACAACUUCUUUCACAAACGACCUAAGAAAAAGACAUGCGUAUGUACACUUCAAUGCAGUAAAGCCCCACCACCACCGUCAGAACCUGACGUGCCAGAGCCACCGGGUGAACCUGAGGUGCCAGAUCCUAAGAAGAAGCCGCCGCCGCCAUAUGUACGUGAUGUGCCGAAGCCGCCCUCGGGAGAAAAUAAGAAGAAGCUAGUGGCAGCUGCUGACCAGUGAGCAAAUGGUCUAGCCUGCCCGUCCGUGGAAAAUGAUUUCAAUAAGACAGGAAUUAAUCAAUGCUUACUAAAGCCUACGAAACCUUCCAUCCCUAAUUAAUCUCCUCCCCCUGAAUUUCAUUGGUGGGGCAUGCGCCCUUUUCCUUUCCAAUCAAAACCUUCCACGUUAGCUCUCACGUAAAGUAUGUCAAAAGAUUUUCGUACAUGUAGC